rnacentral:rRNA from 1 species
UACGUAGGGUGCAAGCGUUGUCCGGAAUUAUUGGGCGUAAAGAGCUCGUAGGCGGUCUGUCGCGUCGGAUGUGAAAAUCCAGGGCUCAACCCUGGACCUGCAUUCGAUACGGGCAGACUAGAGGUAGGCAGGGGAGAACGGAAUUCCUGGUGUAGCGGUGAAAUGCGCAGAUAUCAGGAGGAACACCGGUGGCGAAGGCGGUUCUCUGGGCCUUACCUGACGCUGAGGAGCGAAAGCGUGGGGAGCAAACAGG